GAUGAACGCUGGCGGCGUGCCUAAUACAUGCAAGUCGAGCGAACAGACGAGGAGCUUGCUCCUCUGACGUUAGCGGCGGACGGGUGAGUAACACGUGGAUAACCUACCUAUAAGACUGGGGUAACUUCGGGAAACCGGAGCUAAUACCGGAUAAUAUAUUGAACCGCAUGGUUCAAUAGUGAAAGACGGUUUUGCUGUCACUUAUAGAUGGAUCCGCGCCGGAUUAGCUAGUUGGUAAGGUAACGGCUUACCAAGGCAACGAUGCGUAGCCGACCUGAGAGGGUGAUCGGCCACACUGGAACUGAGACACGGUCCAGACUCCUACGGGAGGCAGCAGUAGGGAAUCUUCCGCAAUGGGCGAAAGCUUGACGGAGCAACGCCGCGUGAGUGAUGAAGGUCUUCGGAUCGUAAAACUCUGUUAUUAGGGAAGAACAAAUGUGUAAGUAACUAUGCACGUCUUGACGGUACCUAAUCAGAAAGCCACGGCUAACUACGUG
rnacentral:rRNA from 1 species